GAUGAACGCUGGCGGCGUGCCUAAUACAUGCAAGUCGAACGAACGGACGAGAAGCUUGCGUCUCUGAUGUUAGCGGCGGGCGGGUGAGUAACACGUGUAUAACCUACCUAUAAGACUGGGAUAACUUCGGGAAACCGGAUCUAAUACCGUAUGAUAUUUUGAACCGCGGGGUGCAAAGGUAAAAGACGGUCGUUCUGGCACUUAUAGAUGGAUCCGGGCUGCAUUAGCGAGUUGGGAAGUUAACGGGUUACCAAGGCAACGAUGCAUAGGCGACCGGAGGGGGUGAUCGCCGACCCUGGAACUGAGCCAGGCACCAGACUACUAAGGGAGGCCGCAGUCGGCAAUCUUCCGCAGUGGGCGAAAGUAUGACAGAGCAACGCGGCGUCAGUGACGAAGGUCCUCGGAUCGUAAAAACCUCUUACUAGGGAAGAACAGAUGUGUACGUAAAUGUGCCCAUCUUGACGGUAACUAAUAAGAAAGCACCGGCUAACUACGUG
rnacentral:rRNA from 1 species